AGAAAUUUAGUGUAAUGGUAGCACACUUAAUCUUUAAAUAAGAAGUUAAAGUUAAAAUUUA
rnacentral:tRNA from 1 species